rnacentral:rRNA from 1 species
CAAGUCGAACGAAGCACUUAAGCCUGAUUCUUCGGAUGAAGGUUUUUGUGACUGAGUGGCGGACGGGUGAGUAACGCGUGGGUAACCUGCCUCAUACAGGGGGAUAACAGUUAGAAAUGACUGCUAAUACCGCAUAAGACCACGGAGCCGCAUGGCUCAGUGGGAAAAACUCCGGUGGUAUGAGAUGGACCCGCGUCUGAUUAGGUAGUUGGUGGGGUAACGGCCUACCAAGCCAACGAUCAGUAGCCGACCUGAGAGGGUGACCGGCCACAUUGGGACUGAGACACGGCCCAAACUCCUACGGGAGGCAGCAGUGGGGAAUAUUGCACAAUGGGGGAAACCCUGAUGCAGCGACGCCGCGUGAGCGAAGAAGUAUUUCGGUAUGUAAAGCUCUAUCAGCAGGGAAGAAAAUGACGGUACCUGACUAAGAAGCACCGGCUAAAUACGUGCCAGCAGCCGCGGUAAUACGUAUGGUGCAAGCGUUAUCCGGAUUUACUGGGUGUAAAGGGAGCGUAGACGGCUGUGUAAGUCUGAAGUGAAAGCCCGGGGCUCAACCCCGGGACUGCUUUGGAAACUAUGCAGCUAGAGUGUCGGAGAGGUAAGUGGAAUUCCCAGUGUAGCGGUGAAAUGCGUAGAUAUUGGGAGGAACACCAGUGGCGAAGGCGGCUUACUGGACGAUGACUGACGUUGAGGCUCGAAAGCGUGGGGAGCAAACAGGAUUAGAUACCCUGGUAGUCCACGCCGUAAACGAUGACUACUAGGUGUCGGGGAGCAAAGCUCUUCGGUGCCGCAGCAAACGCAAUAAGUAGUCCACCUGGGGAGUACGUUCGCAAGAAUGAAACUCAAAGGAAUUGACGGG